GACGAACGCUGGCGGCGUGCUUAGCACAUGCAAGUCGAACGGAAAGGCCCUGCUUUUGUGGGGUGCUCGAGUGGCGAACGGGUGAGUAACACGUGAGUAACCUGCCCUUGACUUUGGGAUAACUUCAGGAAACUGGGGCUAAUACCGGAUAGGAGCUCCUGCUGCAUGGUGGGGGUUGGAAAGUUUCGGCGGUUGGGGAUGGACUCGCGGCUUAUCAGCUUGUUGGUGGGGUAGUGGCUUACCAAGGCUUUGACGGGUAGCCGGCCUGAGAGGGUGACCGGCCACAUUGGGACUGAGGUACGGCCCAGACUCCUACGGGAGGCAGCAGUGGGGAAUAUUGCACAAUGGGCGGAAGCCUGAUGCAGCAACGCCGCGUGCGGGAUGACGGCCUUCGGGUUGUAAACCGCUUUCGCCUGUGACGAAGCGUGAGUGACGGUAAUGGGUAAAGAAGCACCGGCUAACUACGUG
rnacentral:rRNA from 1 species